GUGGGUGCUUGGUCAGAGACCAGGGCAAGAUGUGCUGGACAGUCAUGGUCAACACACAGAACUUCUUCAAGCAGGUGGACUUCAUAGACUCUGCUUCCCUGGAAACUCUCCGACAAGAUUAAAUUUGGAGUGUUCUUCAACCUCUGCGGUCAGCUUGUGGCGCUACUUUUGAGAUUAUGGGCUGCUCUGAGGCUGCAGGCACGUGUCCAGCAAAGGGAGUACAGCAAUGAUGAUGUGCCCUGUUACUACGGUUCUGACAAUAUGGGCCAACUGGUGCAGCCCAUCAGAAAACCAAGCAAGCUGGAGAGUCACAGGGAGGAGGAGAAACCUGCCUCCAACAACAGCAGCACUGAACAACUUGCAGUAACUUGAGAUUUCACCCAACCAGCCUCUACAACACUUCAAGAUGUACCGAAACUAAAUGUGUAAACUACUGAAGUAGUUAUGCUCAAUC